rnacentral:rRNA from 1 species
UGGGGAAUAUUGGACAAUGGGGGCAACCCUGAUCCAGCAAUGCCGCGUGUGUGAAGAAGGCCUGAGGGUUGUAAAGCACUUUCGGUAGGGAGGAGGUAGUAUGGGUUAAGAGCUGAUACUAUGGACGUUACCUACAUAAGAAGCACCGGCUAACUCCGUGCCAGCAGCCGCGGUAAUACGGAGGGUGCGAGCGUUAAUCGGAAUUACUGGGCGUAAAGGGUGCGUAGGUGGUUUGGUAAGUUAUCUGUGAAAUUCCUGGGCUCAACCUGGGGUGGUCAGAUAAAACUGCUGAACUCGAGUAUGGGAGAGGGUAGUGGAAUUUCCGGUGUAGCGGUGAAAUGCGUAGAGAUCGGAAGGAACACCAGUGGCGAAGGCGGCUACCUGGCCUAAUACUGACACUGAGGCACGAAAGCGUGGGGAGCAAACAGG